AAAGAGAUGUGUUUGAGCCGUCCAAAAAGUGAAAGAAAGAAAACAUGGAAGAAAGGGAGCAAGGAAGAAUGAGUUGACAAGACCCAACCAUAAUCUCCCGCAGGAGCCUAAAGGCCUCUGGGAAGCUGCCUCUUCUCUUCCGGUUUUCCAGUUUCCCGGCUUGCUUCUGGCGUCAAAUGGGAGGGGGAGGCACAAGAUGGUGGCAGCCAAACCCCGCCUCUAGCUAGUAUUCCAGUUUUUGAAACCCCCCUCCCACCUCGUUUACAUCUGGACAUAGUCAAAGGAGAUAAAUCAAUUAAGAAACAUAUUAUCGUGUCUCCGUGUCAAGAAUCUGCACGCACUUUAGCUGAAGACCCCUGGCUCUGGCUCAACUGCAAAGCUGCGUGCUAUGUCAUGGAAAGUGUCAUGGAGAUGGGAGUGCACUUUCUGGAGGAAGCCACUUGCCACCCUGAGGUGACACAUGGAGAGGUCCUCGUAGCACAGAAGAAACCCCUAGGUGGCUGCCGCAUGAAUGAGUUACCUUGGCAGCAGAUCCUUCAGCCUCCUCCAAACCUUCAGAUGACCCCAGCCUCAUGAGGGACUCAGAGCCAGGCAACCUACUA